AUACAAAUCGUCCUGGGAUCUUGUUAAAGUGCAGUUUCUGAUUCAGUGGGUGUAGAUCAGGCUGAGAUUCUGCAUUUCUAACUAGCUCCCGGGUGAUCCUGAU
rnacentral:pre_miRNA from 1 species